AUUGAACGCUGGCGGCAUGCCUUACACAUGCAAGUCGAACGGCAGCGGGGACUUCGGUCCGCCGGCGAGUGGCGAACGGGUGAGUAAAGUAUCGGAACGUACCUUUCAGUGGGGGCUAACGUAGCGAAAGCUACGCUAAUACCGCAUAUUCUGUGAGCAGGAACGCAGGGGAUCGCAAGACCUUGCGCUGAUUGAGCGGCCGAUAUCAGAUUAGCUAGUUGGUGAGGUAAAGGCUCACCAAGGCGACGAUCUGUAGCGGGUCUGAGAGGAUGAUCCGCCACACUGGAACUGAGACACGGUCCAGACUCCUACGGGAGGCAGCAGUGGGGAAUUUUGGACAAUGGGGGCAACCCUGAUCCAGCCAUGCCGCGUGAGUGAAGAAGGCCUUCGGGUUGUAAAGCUCUUUCGGCCGGGAGGAAAGCGCACAGGCUAAUACCCUGUGUGGAUGACAGUACCGGAAUAAGAAGCACCGGCUAACUACGUGCCAGCAGCCGCAGUAACAC
rnacentral:rRNA from 1 species